rnacentral:rRNA from 1 species
CCUACGGGUGGCAGCAGUGAGGAAUAUUGGUCAAUGGGCGAAAGCCUGAUGGAGCAACGCCGCGUGGGUGAAGAAGGUCUUCGGAUCGUAAAACCCUGUUGUUAGAGAAGAAAGUGCGUGAGAGUAACUGUUCACGUUUCGACGGUAUCUAACCAGAAAGCCACGGCUAACUACGUGCCAGCAGCUGCGGUAAUACGUAGGUGGCAAGCGUUAUCCGGUUUUAUUGGGCGUAAGGGAACGCAGGGUGUCUUUUAAGUCUGAUGGGAAAGGCUUCGGCGUAACCGGAGUAGUGCAUUGGAAACUGGGAGACUUGAGUGCACAAGAGGAACGUGGAACUCCAUGUGUAGCGGUGAAAUGCGUAGAUAGAUGGAAGAACACCAGUGGCGAAGGCGGCUCUCUGGUCUGUAACUGACGCUGAGGUUCGAAAGCGUGGGUAGCAAACAGGAUUAGAUACCCGAGUAGUC